rnacentral:rRNA from 1 species
AUUGAACGCUGGCGGCAGGCCUAACACAUGCAAGUCGAACGAGUGGCGGACGGGUGAGUAAUGUCUGGGAAUCUGGCUGAUGGAGGGGGAUAACUACGGGAAACUGUAGCUAAUACCGCGUACCAUAGGAUGAGCCCAAGUGGGAUUAGGUAGUUGGUGGGGUAAAGGCUCACCAAGCCGACGAUCUCUAGCUGGUCUGAGAGGAUGACCAGCCACACUGGGACUGAGACACGGCCCAGACUCCUACGGGAGGCAGCAGUGGGGAAUAUUGCGAAAUGGGCGCAACCUGAUGCAGCCAUGCCGCGUGAAUGAAGAAGGCCUUCGGGUUGUAAAGUACUUUCAGUGGGGAGGCGUUAACUGCAGAAGAAGCACCGGCUAACUCCGUGCCAGCAGCCGCGGUAAUAC